ACGCCGGUGGUGUAAGGCGAACAUCGCUGCCCGGAAAGAAGAAGAUGCGGGUUCGAGUCACGCCCGGUGCA
rnacentral:tRNA from 1 species